rnacentral:rRNA from 1 species
UACGUAGGGGGCAAGCGUUAUCCGGAUUUACUGGGUGUAAAGGGAGCGUAGACGGUAUGGCAAGUCUGAAGUGAAAGCCCAGGGCUUAACCCUGGGACUGCUUUGGAAACUGUUAGACUAGAGUGCUGGAGAGGUAAGUGGAAUUCCUAGUGUAGCGGUAAAAUGCGUAGAUAUUAGGAGGAACACCAGUGGCGAAGGCGGCUUACUGGACAGUAACUGACGUUGAGGCUCGAAAGCGUGGGGAGCAAACAGG